CAGCAAGGGUCUGCGGUGAAAGACUGAAGCUCAACGUCAGUAAGCCGCGGAAACCGGGCUGCUAGAGUGCAGGAGAGGAUCGUGGAAUUCCAUGUGUAGCGGUGAAAUGCGUAGAUAUAUGGAGGAACACCAGUGGCGAAGGCGACGGUCUGGCCUGUAACUGACGCUCAUUCCCGAAAGCGUGGGGAGCAAAUAG
rnacentral:rRNA from 1 species